rnacentral:pre_miRNA from 1 species
UUUCUACUCCCUCCGUCCGAAAAUACUUGUCAUCAAAAUGAAUAAAAAGAGAUGUAUCUAAAACUAAAAUACGUCUAGAUACAUUUCGUUUUAUCCAUUUUGAUGACAAGUAUUUCCGGACGGAGGGAGUAUUUG